rnacentral:rRNA from 1 species
GACGAACGCUGGCGGCGUGCUUAACACAUGCAAGUCGAGCGGAAAGGCCCUUCGGGGUACUCGAGCGGCGAACGGGUGGGUAACACGUGAGUAAUCUGCCCUUGGCUUUGGGAUAACUACCGGAAACGGUGGCUAAUACCGGAUACGACAACCGUCUGCAUGGGCUGGUUGUGGAAAGUUUUUUCGGCCAGGGAUGUGCUCGCGGCCUAUCAGCUUGUUGGUGGGGUAAUGGCCUACCAAGGCUUCGACGGGUAGCCGGCCUGAGAGGGUGACCGGCCACACUGGGACUGAGACACGGCCCAGACUCCUACGGGAGGCAGCAGUGGGGAAUAUUGGACAAUGGGCGGAAGCCUGAUCCAGCAACGCCGCGUGAGGGAUGACGGCCUUCGGGUUGUAAACCUCUUUCAGUACCGACGAAGCGCCGAUGAUGGUGGUGACGGUAGGUACAGAAGAAGCACCGGCCAACUACGUG